GACGAACGCUGGCGGCGUGCUUAACACAUGCAAGUCGAACGGAAAGGCCCUGCUUUUGUGGGGUGCUCGAGUGGCGAACGGGUGAGUAACACGUGAGUAACCUGCCCUUUACUUUGGGAUAACUUCAGGAAACUGGGGCUAAUACCGGAUAGGAGCUCCUGCUGCAUGGUGGGGGUUGGAAAGUUUCGGCGGUUGGGGAUGGACUCGCGGCUUAUCAGCUUGUUGGUGGGGUAGUGGCUUACCAAGGCUUUGACGGGUAGCCGGCCUGAGAGGGUGACCGGCCACAUUGGGACUGAGAUACGGCCCAGACUCCUACGGGAGGCAGCAGUGGGGAAUAUUGAACAAUGGGCGGAAGCCUGAUGCAGCAACGCCGCGUGCGGGUUGACGGCCUUCGGGUUGUAAACCGCUUUCGCCUGUGACGAAGCGUGAGUGACGGUAAUGGGUAAAGAAGCACCGGCUAACUACGUG
rnacentral:rRNA from 1 species